UGUUUUUGACAUGCAAAGUUUGAAUGGACCUGAGUUAAGUCCACUGGUAUUCCUGAAUAUACUUUCAAUUGAAAACACCAGUGUAAGUAGAACCCAAGUUAAUUUGUUAGUCCAUGGCUAGUCCUCAGAAUCUGUAAAACGCAUGAAAUGCAUGGAUAUUGCUAUCUUUAAAUAUUUUGAACAACUGGCUAUCCAUAAAAACAUAUAAUCCUAUAUCUGAGGAAUAUAAAACCUUAAUAUCUAGACUUUUCUAGAUGAGGAAACCAAGGCCUCAAGAAGAGAAAAUGACUAAUAUCAAACAGCUAGUUGGAAAAAAAUAAUUGAAUGGCUCAAUCUGCAAGGAAAAACAGUAGUAUUUAUCUGCAUCUAGGGUAGACACAAUUUGGGGGCCUCAAGAAUAUUUUUGCUUCUGCCUCUAUUCCUAGAAACUGUCCAGCCUUAUUAGCUAUCUGCCAAGGACUCCUAAACCCCAGUCAUGAAUUUAUUUGGUAGCUGUGUGAAAACAAAUUCCCUCAGAGCUCCAGCUCCAGAUAUCCAGUUUCUAGCUGGAAUCGCCAAUCGAAAGUUCCUCAGGAACUUCAGACUUAAUGUUCAGAAACUGAACUCUUCCAAACCUGCUCCUCCUCUUUUCCUGCAGCCUCUCUGACUGAAUGGCAUCACCUAGUUCCUUAAGCUCCAAACCAUUCAGUCCCUUUUCGUCCACCAGGCAUUGUUCUAUCCUAUUGUAUAAUGGAAGAAAGGUAGAAAUUCCUACCUCUUGGGACAGGAAUGGGAGUUCCCUGGUGGCUAGGACUUGGCACUUUCACCACUGUGGCCUGGGUUCAAUCCCUGGUCUGGGAACUGGGAUCCCACAGGGAAAGGGAAAAAAAAAAAAGACUUGUGGCUGCCUGACGGGAGAGGGAGGGAGUGGGGGGGAUCGGGAGCUUGGGGUUAUCAGAUACAACUUAGAAUAGAUUUACAAGGAGAUCCUGCUGAGUAGCAUCGAGAACUAUGUCUAGAUACUCAUAAUGCAACAGAACAAAGGGUGGGGAAAAAUGUAUACAUGUAAGAGUAACUUGAUCCCCCAUGCUGUACAGCAGGAAAAAAAUAAAAUAAAUAAAAUUACAUACAUUUGUGUGUUUAAAAAAAGAAAGGACAUAGGUGUCUAGCUCAAAGGCCUUGUUUUGUGGAUGUUUCCUGUUGACACUCAACAAACAGUAAUGAACCUGAACCUCUUCUUCAUUGUCCUUAUCUUUUAGUUCUAUACCACCCAGAUAUUUGCCCUUUAACCCCUUGUCCUCCCUAGAUUUCUGUUCUUCUCUGGUAACUGGCCAAUGCACAUGGGUUUUCUCCAUGGCAGGUAGAAGUGUCCCCCAUCUUCUAGAUAGCCCAAGCAAGACUAGAGACAGCUACAGCCUCAUCAGCUUUCAUCAUUUCUACUCAGGAAAUACCAGAAUACUUUAGUAGUAGAGAGUAUUUACAGUUAGAAUGGGCUGUACAAUUCAUAACCCCAGUGUAAAAUGUAAACAUGAAGUCCCUUGUUCAAAAAGCAGGAAAAUGUGCCAUUAAAGGUAUGCAAAUAUAACAUAUUUCCUUUCUACUGGGGAGUCUCUCUCAACCUUUCAUGGUGUUUUAAAUUUUCCGUUUAAUGUAGUACCCUCUCAGAGAUAGAGACACUUGUAGGGCAAGUUCAGACCCAUAUAAGUACCCUGUGACCCCACCCUCUGAUUUGAUGCACAUGUGUGGGGCCUAAAGAUUGCUGGAUGGGUGCAUUGCACCCUGGUCAGGAAUAAGUAGAGCCAGCUAUAUCCUUUUCCCCUGCGCCAGCUGCCCCAACCCAUGGAGGAUAGAGGACCACCAAGGGUGUUGCAACCUCUGCACCAGGAUGCACUAGGUACCUGGAUCAGGGUCGUCAAUAAGCCCUGCUGAGUGAUCUGCCAUCUUGCCAUGGCACUAUCAUCCUGGGGCCAGGAUGGGUGGCUGUCAUCAUAGCCAGUCCUGAGAUGUUGCAGGCCAAGUGAACCUGACCCCAGUCCUCCCCAGGCCUGUACCCAGGUCCCUGAGGGUGGAGGGUUGCAUCAGUCACUGGGUGAUACAGAGGAAGAGGCUGGAUGGGGCCCUGGGUACUAAUGGGCAGGGGAGUGGGCAGUCAAUAACAGGUCCCAGGGAGGUGGCGACACAAUGAAAGAUGGGACCGUGUGCUAGCAGAGACUCCAGGCUUCCAGUGCCUACUCAAUUAUUCUAUCACAUUUUGGAUUUCAUUUACAAAGCCAAAAUUCAAAGUAUUAAAAUUAAGACAGUGGGAUGGAAAUACUAUAAAACUGGAUUGUGAUGAUCAUUGUACAACUACAAUGUAGUAAAUUCAUUGAAUAAUAAAAAAAUAAAAUAAAAUUAAGACAGUGACAUUAAACCCCAAGUGCAAGGCUCGUCUAAGCCUGGGGUCCUAUAUCACGGCACUGACCACACGUCCAUGCAGCCAGUUCUGCUUAGAGAGACAUUUCUCUUAUCUUUAUCAGGCAGUAUAGUGCAGUGGUUAAAAGUACAAGCUCUGAAUCAGACUACCAGACUUUGAGGCCCACCUCCCUCACUUUCUAAUACUUUGACUUUAGACAAGUUGCUUAAGUUGCAUAUGUCUCAGUUUUCUUAUACGUAAAACAAAGAUAAUAAGAACAUCUACCUUCUAAGGUUGCUGUGAGGUAAUGCAUGCACACUGAUUAGAAUAAUGCCCAGACAUAGUUUACACGCAAUAACUUUUGUAUUCUUACUUUUUGCUCUUAGGAUUCUACAUUUUUUCAGCUAUCCAAUACAAGAUUUGGGUUUUGUUUACUCUGGAUCUGCUGUAGGCCUGUGUUCCAAGUGGUAUUUACCCAGCAUACACAGCAUAUAACUAGACUUGGUCUCCAGUGACCUCCCGGGCUUAAGGGGAGCUCUGCUAGGUUUAUACAAACUGAGUGAGUCCAGUGAGCUGUCAGUGGUAGAGUUUAGAGUUUUUUUUCUUUUACAGACUCAGGAUCCAUCCAAGUUAGUGUUUGGUUGUACCAUCCUGGGUCUCGAUUAACAAAUGCAACUGCAGGGACCUCACAUCCAGUUCUGCUGCUUCUCCCACAGGCCUUCAAGAAGAAGAUAUUCUCAUUGUCUUACAAACAGUAGUUCUUCAUUAUAGGGCUAAUGGAAAAGACUCUCCAAGGCAAUCUCUGGUGUUCCCAUUUUCAGUCUUGCUGCCACAGCAACAGCCCUUAGGGACACGUUCAGUCAAAGGGACUUGGAGUCAGAGCUAGGUGUGAUACCAAUGAGGCCUAGACCAGCCCUUCCAGAGGGAGCAAGGCCCCUGCCAGUGAGGGGAUGAGGGACAGUGGACGGAGGGAGGGCUCUGUAAGUUAGGGCAGCAAUUCUGUCCCCUCAGAUGCCAUAAGAGAAUAAUCACUGCCCUCUCUCUGCAUCCGCCGCUCAAUGUUGCAGAAGCUGAGCCUUGCAUUCCAGGGAGCUCUCAGCGCCUCUCCAAGCCCUCCUUCCUACCCGCCACACAUGCAGGGUGGGUUGCUGUCAGCUUCACGGUGGGGGGUGGGCUUCUCCAGCCACUUUGGGCUGUGCACCCAUCCCCAGCACCGUUCUAGGUGGUUCUCAGAGUGGCAUCUGGUCUUGGUCUCUCUGACCGAAGGAUCCCGCUGAGAUAGUUCUCACCACACUGUGCUCAGCCAGAGCAAGGCCUCAGGCUGAAUGGGGGUCCUGAGCAAAUGCUCUGAUAUUGGGGGAGGGGUAGUUCUGGGGAUCCCAGUAACAAAAUCCUACAGCCCCAAAGGCUGAGCUGCAGAGUCUAGGCGGUUGUGUGGUUCCCAGCUAUUGCCCAAGGCAAGGACACGUUAGGGACUCCAUUGGCCUGAAGCUGACACUUCUGUCAGCCACUUGGGUUUCCUGAAGAAAUUUGGACAGGGGCAUCCCGUCCAAGGAGGCAUGUCCCCAUCUGGCCUCCUGGAUAUUGAGUGGCCUCCUGGUCAAGUCUCCAUGGGUCAGAGGAACUGGCUAGAGCACACCUGCAAUCCCCACAAGGGGAGAAAUCCUAGAGCUUAGAACUAGCUACGAUCUACUUCACCCUCCACAAGUGGAGCUCUGGGUACCAGAGCACCAAGCAGGGGCAGUGGGAAUACAUAUCAGGCUUCUCAAGAGGCAGAAUCCAUUUUGUAUAAUUCUGAGAACAUGGUUUGGCUGGGAUUAAUGGAAAACAGAAAUAAGCAAUUCCAUCAACAAAUAUUGCACAAGGUGUGUACAAACUUUUUCUAGGCAGUAUAGAAACACAGCGAAGAAAAGAGGGAGAGAGGGAUGAGAUAUCCUUCUCUCGAGGAGGAUAAAAUAUGGACCUGCAGAAGACAAAAUUUAAGUACUUAAAAAUCAAAUAGAAAUUGGUUUUACUUUGCAUUUUUCUUGAAAAGGGGUAUGUGAAAAAAUAACUAUUUCAGACUCAGUAAGUGUCCACUAACUUGAAUUUUAAUUUUAGAGAUAUGUUCCUACCUAAAAAAUUGUAACCUCAAUUCAGACAAUAAAGGUAUUAAUUUCUCUUCAGUAAGAACUGCCACCUCUUCCACACAUAACUAUUGACCCCGACAACUGAUUGAAUUAUCUAAAAUUACUUCUUUCCUGAUUAUAAAAGAAUGACAUGUUCAUCACUGAGAAAUUGGAAAAUACAGAGAAAUAAGAGGAGCACUUAAUAUAUAAGUCAACACCUAGAGACAACUACCAAUACUUGGUUACAUUCUCUUUUCGUGUUCUGCUUUUUAAUACAUGCAUACAUGUGUGUAUGUGUGUCUAUAAGCAUAGUUCUAGUAGAAUAAUAGUGUAAAACUAUUCUGUGCCAUAUUGUUUUCACUUAUAAAUAUAUUAGAAAAAAUAUGCAUGUCAAUAAGCAUUCUUCCUCUUGAGAUUAAUGGUUGCAUAAAACCUACUGUAUGGAUGAGCUUUCACAACUAUUAACAAAGAGUUUUGAAAAGACUGAUAGGAGGAACAUAGAGCUUAUCUCAGUGUGCUCAAAGCAAGAGGUGACAUACACAAUUUGGAAUGUGACUGCAUUUUCUUAAAUUCUUAAAUAUGAGCCUUGGCUAAAUGAAGUGACCAGGAAGAAGAAUUAUCUUCUACAGUAAAAUCCCAUGUGCACACAAAGGCUUUAAGUGAAACUUUCAUUUGAACAGGUGGAAAAGGGAAAAAGUUGAGAUUUCAAAUAUUUUACCAGACAUUUUCACUUCAGAUUAUGGAGUUGAACAUGAAAAUUAUUUCCAUGUAGAACACUGAGGCCAGCCUGCGCCAGCCCAGUGAGGGUCCAUCCCAAGGAUGGAAAGCUUAAAGCAGGUGAAUGCCCUGGUUCUAUAACUGAGGCUGAGAGCAGUCAGGUGAGAGGUCAGGACAAGAAGGACUUAUGUUUGCCCUGGAGCUGAGAGCCUUCUAAGGAUCGUAAGGAUAAUAGAUGUUCAUGAAUGCUGUGCAGAAGGAAUUAAAGGCUUCAGAGCCUCAGAGGAGAAGGAGGAAAGCGUACCAGCUUCACCAGUGAGGAGUAUCACAGAGGUGGUCAGUAGUGGAAGUUGCAGAAUAGAGGGUAAAACCAUAAGGGCUGAGAAGGACCUUGGAGUUGAUGGUCUGUGGUGCUUGGGAAGCAAGUUGGACAGGAUGCUGGCCAUGGGCACAGUGAGUAAAGAAAUCUAAGCAGGACAGAGAUAAAUGGGGACUGAUACCAAUGAAGGUGACUAGUCAGUUUUGCUACUACGGUGAUAUUACAGAGGAGGAUGAGCAGCCUAAGAGAAGAGUUAUAGGUAAAUCUGAGGAGGAUCAGUCAUCCUUAGGAGAAUGAGCUAUGCCAUAAAAUUGAAAUUCCUUUCCAUAGUUCCCAAAGGGCAUCUUGCAUAAAACCUCCUAAGACAAAACUUCAGGGUACUGAUAGAUAUUCUGGUUCAGUCCCCUAGUUUUGGUUCCUAAUACUUGGAGUCAUCAUCAAAUCAGUAUAGGCAAUUUGCAGUUAUCCCAAGGGGUAAAACCAAUUUACAUCAUUUGAAAUUCAUUUAAAGGAAUGUUUAAUUAACAUAAUAUUUAAUUCUACUUUAAUUACUUUUAAGAACCCACAUAUUGCUUUGGGGAAUUAGUAAAAUUAGACAAAAUUAGUGUGUCAUAACAUGGAACAUGUUGGGAAUCAUUAGUCUAAACCAUCUGGAUAGAUGGCUGUCUCCCUUUCUACUAGAUAAUUAAUACCAUUGAAAACCCUACAUCUACCCACCCUCCCUUCCACCUACCUGUAGUAGGUAUUCUCUUGAGAGAUGGGAAUUCUUGUGUUUAUCCAAUAAUAUUCACUUAUCUGUAACUUUAACCCCUAAUCAAGCCAAAAGCAAUAUAGCCUCAGUUUCCUCGUGCAUAACCUGAAAGUAAUUACAAUUUCUUUCUGUCUGGAUUAUUGUGGGAACUCAAUGAGGUAAUGUACAUAAAAGGUAUUCAUACAAAAAUUUGCCAUUUGCGGUAAAUUUUACAUGUAAGGAAACUACCAGGCAGUAGGUCUUCAUUUAUACAGUUGACAAAACAGGAAACAAUAGCAAUAAUGGCCACAAACAGGAGAAAUCUUUGGGAAGCUUUUGCAACUUACAUUGUAUGAAAGAGACCAAGUGGGUCGUGGAAUUAAAAUUCUUAUGUGAAGGGCGUAAUUUUCACUUCCAUACUCACAAGUCCAAAACACCACUUGUAAUACUUAAUAACAUCCAUUAACGCUGUCAUGUUAUGGUCUCAAGAUCCAGGAACAUAAUCAAGGCAUCUUCUAAAUCGUGCAGCCCAAGUGAGUGGUACAUCCAAAUAGGGAGAAGCAAGCCAUUGGAUGAGAUGUUACUACUCCUUUUUACCUGAUUGGUGGUGCUAGUGGCAAGAUGGUGGCAAAUGAGAGAGCAUAGCUUCAAUCUAGGAUAAAGAAUGAACUAUCCUUUCUUCAAGGAUCAGCUAUGACAUCCCAUAUCCAGGGCCUAAAUUUUUAUUUCUGCCUCAGUAGAGACAAGAUGAUCGCCAAGGGUUUCCUAUAUUCUUCCUUUUACCUUACUUUCCCCUCUUUUCCAUCCUUUGUUUCUCAUAUGGAAAUAUAAUAGAGUGGGAGAAUUGGGGUUUUUGAAUCCAGACAAGCUUCAGAUCAACUUUUUGAAGUCAUGGUUUCUUUAAUGCCACAAGCCUUCCUACCCUCUUUGUCUGUUUCCAUGUCUCUGCCCUUAUCCUCUCACCAUGUCUCUUCCUCAUAUCUUUCCUCUGUGUCGAUGUCCUUGUCACUUCCUUUAAGAAUCAUUUUAAAUAGCAUUGAGAACUUUGUCUAGAUACUCAUGUUGCAACAGAAGAAAGGGUGGGGGGAAAAUGUAAUUGUAAUGUAUACAUGUAAGGAUAACCUGAUCCCCUUGCUGUACA
rnacentral:lncRNA from 1 species